AUUGAACGCUGGCGGCAGGCCUAACACAUGCAAGUCGAAUGGUAACAGGAAACAGCUUGCUGUUUCGCUGACGAGUGGCGGACGGGUGAGUAAUGUCUGGGAAACUGCCUGAUGGAGGGGGAUAACUACUGGAAACGGUAGCUAAUACCGCAUAACGUCGCAAGACCAAAGAGGGGGACCUUCGGGCCUCUUGCCAUCAGAUGUGCCCAGAUGGGAUUAGCUAGUAGGUGGGGUAACGGCCCACCUAGGCGACGAUCCCUAGCUGGUCUGAGAGGGUGACCAGCCACACUGGAACUGAGACACGGUCCAGACUCCUACGGGAGGCAGCAGUGGGGAAUAUUGCACAAUGGGCGCAAGCCUGAUGCAGCCAUGCCGCGUGUAUGAAGAAGGCCUUCGGGUUGUAAAGUACUUUCAGCGGGGAGGAAGGGAGUAAAGUUAAUACCUUUGCUCAUUGACGUUACCCGCAGAAGAAGCACCGGCUAACUCCGUG
rnacentral:rRNA from 1 species